GCCGGCGUAGCUCAGUUGGUAGAGCAGUCGAUUCGUAAUCGACAGGUCGUCGGUUCAAGUCCGACCGCCGGCUCCA
rnacentral:tRNA from 2 species